GACGAACGCUGGCGGCGCGCCUAACACAUGCAAGUCGAACGAGAGAUGAGGAGCUUGCUCUUCAAAUCGAGUGGCGAACGGGUGAGUAACGCGUGAGGAACCUGCCUCAAAGAGGGGGACAACAGUUGGAAACGACUGCUAAUACCGCAUAAGCCCACGGCUCGGCAUCGAGCAGAGGGAAAAGGAGUAAUCCGCUUUGAGAUGGCCUCGCGUCCGAUUAGCUAGUUGGUGAGGUAAUGGCCCACCAAGGCGACGAUCGGUAGCCGGACUGAGAGGUUGAACGGCCACAUUGGGACUGAGACACGGCCCAGACUCCUACGGGAGGCAGCAGUGGGGAAUAUUGCACAAUGGGGGAAACCCUGAUGCAGCGACGCCGCGUGGAGGAAGAAGGUCUUCGGAUUGUAAACUCCUGU
rnacentral:rRNA from 1 species